UGAAUAAAGCCGUAAAGAUAAAAAUGGAAAAGUAAAGACUACGGACCCCAAGAGUCCAAAAAGACCAAAACCCUUGUCCAUCGAUCUGUCUUCUACAAUCGCACAAGCCUCUUCACUUCGUUGCCGUGAACAUAAACACUUAUUGCCGCCGUGAACCCACCUCGACAAGUUCGAAAUCUCAUCCUAUCUCAUGAGCCACGCCUUAUCCCUCAAUCCUUAUUAACGAAAAAGUCUUAUCAUCUGCACUACAAAGACCCGUUUUUGGAGCCGGAGAGAGGCUGGACCAUGGAGCCGUGAAUUUCAUAAAAUUUUUGCAAUUUUUGAAAAAUGGGUUCGGAUUCGGAUAUUAUCCGUAUCCGGAUAAUAUCCGCCGGACUCGGAUACAGAUAUUUUUUUCCCGGAUAGUUCCGGAUUCGGAUACGAAUUCGGAUACGGUUUUGGGUUCCCGGAUUCGGAUUCGGAUAUAGCUGUAUCCGUAUCCUAAAUAUCCGUUUGACAGCCCUUCUGUUGGCUGCUUAAACCUCUACACGUGGAUUUUCUACUCCAGAAUUGUACUGAUUGACGAAUCAAACAUGAAUUUGGGCCUAACUGGAUCAUCAUGCACGGGGCUAGUGCCAGAGACUUGCUGACCCAUUUUAAAAUUUUGAUUUUCGGAAACUAUUGUUCCCAUUAGAGAUUUUGUUAAGGGACAAAUUUUGUGAUAAUAUAUUUAAAAUUUGCUGGGA